UCAAUUAUUUUUAUCUUUCAAGCAUCUCGAAAGGUCAAAUGGAGAAUUUUACACUCUGUACAUAAAAACCCUAAUCUUACUGGAAUAAGCUACAAAUAUUGAUGAGCAACUUAAGACAUGAAGGAAAUCAGGAUAUCAUUGUUUGCCAAGAACAAUUUGGAUAGCCUAGAUCUAUGUAAGGUGAGAGAUGGAGUCUGAAAAUUUCAGCCGUUUUGAAAAGAAUCCCAAGAAAAGACCUACUACCAAGGUAAAUACUUCAGCAUGGAGAGAUUUUUAUCUACAUAAAUGUAAUGAUGAUGAGUUAAAUAUCAACACUAUCCAAAGACCUAUUCUCUCACUGGAAAAUGCCGAUUCCUGUAUUUCUGUUUUAACAAAAGCCCACCUAUGCAUUCCACUCCUACUACACCAGAGCAAAGUCUCCUUAUGUAAUUAUCAGAAGACUGAGUUCAGACCUGCAGAUGAAGCCCCCAAAAAAGGACGGUACGAGGGCAAGAAUGGAAGGCAAGGCAAGCUGGGGUGUGGUUUCAGAAAUCCUCAAAUGGCAGCUAAGUAUCAACCCAAUUCAGUGGAAAAUAGGAAGACUUUGAAAUUGUUUCAGCCAAGAAACUACUAUUUUUGA
rnacentral:lncRNA from 12 species